ensembl:snRNA U6 U6 spliceosomal RNA
GUCAAAAAAAAUAUACAUAUACUAAAAUUGGAAUAAUACAAAGAAGAUUAGCAUGGUCCCUGCUCAAGGAUGACAUGCAAAUUCAUGAAGAAUUCUGUACUUAA